UGCGCGGCUACCAUGCAAGUCGGGCGGUAACACGGGAAGCUUGCUCCUGGGUGACGAGCGGCGGACGGGUGAGUAAUGUCUGGGAAACUGCCUGAUGGAGGGGGAUAACUACUGGAAACGGUAGCUAAUACCGCAUAACGUCGCAAGACCAAAGAGGGGGACCUUCGGGCCUCUUGCCAUCAGAUGUGCCCAGAUGGGAUUAGCUAGUAGGUGGGGUAACGGCUCACCUAGGCGACGAUCCCUAGCUGGUCUGAGAGGAUGACCAGCCACACUGGAACUGAGACACGGUCCAGACUCCUACGGGAGGCAGCAGUGGGGAAUAUUGCACAAUGGGCGCAAGCCUGAUGCAGCCAUGCCGCGUGUAUGAAGAAGGCCUUCGGGUUGUAAAGUACUUUCAGCGGGGAGGAAGGUGUUGUGGUUAAUAACCACAGCAAUUGACGUUACCCGCAGAAGAAGCACCGGCUAACUCCGUGCCAGCAGCCGCGGUAAUACGGAGGGUGCAAGCGUUAAUCGGAAUUACUGGGCGUAAAGCGCACGCAGGCGGUCUGUCAAGUCGGAUGUGAAAUCCCCGGGCUCAACCUGGGAACUGCAUUCGAAACUGGCAGGCUAGAGUCUUGUAGAGGGGGGUAGAAUUCCAGGUGUAGCGGUGAAAUGCGUAGAGAUCUGGAGGAAUACCGGUGGCGAAGGCGGCCCCCUGGACAAAGACUGACGCUCAGGUGCGAAAGCGUGGGGAGCAAACAGGAUUAGAUACCCUGGUAGUCCACGCCGUAAACGAUGUCGACUUGGAGGUUGUGCCCUUGAGGCGUGGCUUCCGGAGCUAACGCGUUAAGUCGACCGCCUGGGGAGUACGGCCGCAAGGUUAAAACUCAAAUGAAUUGACGGGGGCCCGCACAAGCGGGUGGAGCAUGUGGUUUAAUUCGAUGCAACGCGAAAACCUUACCUACUCUUGACAUCCAGAGAACUUAGCAAAAUGCUUUGGUGCCUUCGGAACUCUGAAACAGGUGCUGCAUGGCUGUCUCAGCUCGUGUUGUGAAUGUUGGGUUAAUUCCCCAACGAGCGCCAAACCCUUUUCUUUUU
rnacentral:rRNA from 1 species